UUUAAAUGUGGAGUGAGAUGCGGACAGGAGAACAAUAAUGCGGUGUGCGUUGAAGAGUGAGCUUUGUGGAAUAAGCUGUGCAAACAGGAGAACAAGCAACGCUGAUGCUGGCGAGAGUGUGCACAGCUAUUAGUCAUCCACACUGGUAUAACUUUAUUGGUUCGUCUAAUUCAUCUUGGCUGGUCUUAAAAACGAGGAUUGCCUUCGUCUGUCCAACAAGCCA